rnacentral:RNase_P_RNA from 1 species
GGCAGGGUGCCAGGUAACGCCGGGGGGGAAACCCCACGACCAGUGCAACAGAGAGCAAACCGCCGAUGGCCCGCGCAAGCGGGAUCAGGUAAGGGUGAAAGGGUGCGGUAAGAGCGCACCGCGCGGCUGGUAACAGUCCGUGGCACGGUAAACUCCACCCGGAGCAAGGCCAAAUAGGGGUUCAUAAGGUACGGCCCGUACUGAACCCGGGUAGGCUGCUUGAGCCAGUGAGCGAUUGCUGGCCUAGAUGAAUGACUGUCCAC